CAGGAUGAACGCUGGCGGCGUGCCUAACACAUGCAAGUCGAGCGUGAACCCUUAGAAUGAAACUCGGUCGAAUGAAGAGGGGAAAGCGGCGGACGGGUGAGUAACGCGUAGGCAACCUGCCCCGUACAGAGGGAUAGCCUCGGGAAACCGGGAUUAAAACCUCAUAAUACCAUGGUAUCACAUGAUGCAAUGGUCAAAGAUUUAUCGGUAUGGGAUGGGCCUGCGUCUGAUUAGCUGGUUGGUGGGGUAACGGCCUACCAAGGCAACGAUCAGUAGCCGACCUGAGAGGGUAAUCGGCCACAUUGGAACUGAGACACGGUCCAAACUCCUACGGGAGGCAGCAGUGGGGAAUAUUGCACAAUGGGCGAAAGCCUGAUGCAGCAACGCCGCGUGAGCGAAGAAGGCCUUUGGGUCGUAAAGCUCUGUCGGGAAGGAAGAUAAUGACGGUACUUCCCGAGGAAGCCCCGGCUAACUACGUGCCAGCCGCCGC
rnacentral:rRNA from 1 species